AUUGAACGCUGGCGGCAUGCCUUACACAUGCAAGUCGAACGGCAGCACGGGUGCUUGCACCUGGUGGCGAGUGGCGAACGGGUGAGUAAUACAUCGGAACGUACCUUAUCGUGGGGGAUAACGCAGCGAAAGCUGUGCUAAUACCGCAUACGCCCUGCGGGGGAAAGCGGGGGAUCGCAAGACCUCGCGCGACUAGAGCGGCCGAUGCCUGAUUAGCUUGUUGGUGGGGUAAAAGCCCACCAAGGCGACGAUCAGUUACUGGUCUGAGAGGACGAUCAGCCACACUGGGACUGAGACACGGCCCAGACUCCUACGGGAGGGAGCAGUGGGGAAGUUUGGACAAUGGGGGCAACCCUGAUCCAGCAAUGCCGCGUGAGUGAAGAAGGCCUUCGGGUUGUAAAGCUCUUUUGUCAGGGAAGAAACACCGGCUCUAACACAGUCUGGGAAUGACGGUACCUGAAGAAUAAGCACCGGCUAACUACGUGCCAGCAGCCGCAGUAA
rnacentral:rRNA from 1 species